ensembl:lncRNA
AAAAAAUAGAGGCUGCGUGUGAUUUCAGUUCCGGUUCAAUGCAUUUGUAAUGAGGGGGCGCACUUCUGUGCAGUGUGCACAAGUCGUCGUUGCUAGCAGGCUGCACCCGACAGCCAAGGGAUUUACAUGUGGCAUAGCAAGUCUCUGAAGCAGUGUCUCACACUCGAGUCCUGACCGAGGGCCUUGAAACUGGCAUGCCUGUUCAAAACAUCUCCAGGACAACAAGGUUAUUUUGUGUUGACGUGUAUUGAAUUCUUAAGGGCAAAGAAGAUGAAGGAGAAUGCGUGCAGUGGGCUGAAUGGAGAAUUCGUGAAUCAAAGGCAACACCAUCAAAUGCAUUAUGAAAUUAAGCACUAUCAGGUUGUCAAGGCUGUAGCUCAGCGGGUACAUGGUCCUGGAUACCAGAUUUUUUUUUUUUGAAAACUAUUUAUAUAUGGAAUCUGAAUGCACUCCAGGAUAUGCUGCAGUUCUUUGUGCCACAAGAGGCCAAGAAGCUCUACUACAAGACGUUGAGGCAGAAGAUGAAGAUUAUUACAAAUUAUCCAAGUCAGUUCCGACCAAGUCUACCAACAAUGUGUAUGAUGUAUGACUACCU